GAUUAUGGCUCAGGAUGAGCGCUGGCGGCGCGCUUAACACAUGCAAGUCGAACGGUUAAAGCACCUCCGGGUGUGCAUAAAGUGGCGAACGGCUGAGUAACACGUGGGCAACCUGCCCCCCGCACCGGGAUAGCCUCGGGAAACCGUGGGUAAUACCGGAUACUCCGCCACCCCCGCAUGGGGGAGGCGGGAAAGCGUACACGGCGGGGGAUGGGCCCGCGGCCUGUUAGCUCGUUGGCGGGGUAACGGCCCACCAAGGCGAUUAUGGGUAGCCGGGUUGAGAGACCGACCGGCCAGAUUGGGACUGAGACACGGCCCAGACUCCUACGGGAGGCAGCAGUGGGGAAUCUUGCACAAUGGGCGAAAGCCUGAUGCAGCGACGCCGCGUGCGGGAUGAAGGCCCUCGGGUUGUAAACCGCUUUCAGCAGGGACGAGGCGCAAGUGACGGUACCUGCAGAAGAAGCCCCGGCUAACUACGUGCCAGCCGCUGC
rnacentral:rRNA from 1 species